rnacentral:rRNA from 1 species
AAAGUGUAAUCUGCCCAGUGAUUAUAUAGCAUAAUAAUAUAUUAUUAACUUAUAAUUAAACGGCCGCUGUAUUCUUGACGGUGAUAAUGUAGGAAAAUAAUUAGUCAAUUAAUUGUUGAACGUAGAUGAAUGAUUGAACGAAAUUUCCACUGUCUUAUUUAUAAUAUAUUGAAAUUAAUAUAAUAGUGAAGAAGCUAUUUAAAAUUGUAAGACGAAAAGACCCUGUAAAGCUUAACUAUAUAUAUAUAUUAAUAAUUUAUGCUAAUAUACGCAAUUAUAUUAGCACUAGAUUUAUUAAUUGGGUAGUUUGGUUGGGGCAACAACAUUUUAAAAUUAAAAAAUGUAUAUUAAAAUAAUAUUAUUAUUUAUUGUUUAAUUUAUAAAUUUAACAAUUAUAAUUUAGAUAUAAUGACCUAUCUUUAUACUAUAAAAUUUUAUGAGAUAAUAAAUAAAUAAAAGUUACUUCAGGGAUAACAGGUUAAUUUUAUUUGAAAGAUGAUAUUAAAAAUAAAGUUUGACACCUCGAUGUUGAAUUAAGUUAUCCUAGUGUUGCAGCAGAUACUAAGGGUUGGUCUGUUCGACCAUUAAAAACUUACAUGAUUUGAGUU